rnacentral:rRNA from 1 species
ACGUACACUCCUGCGGGAGGCAGCAGUGGGGAAUUUUGGGCAAUGGGCGAAAGCCUGAUCCAGCCAUGCCGCGUGCAGGAUGAAGGCCUUCGGGUUGUAAACUGCUUUUGUACGGAACGAAACGGCCUUUUCUAAUAAAGAGGGCUAAUGACGGUACCGUAAGAAUAAGCACCGGCUAACUACGUGCCAGCAGCCGCGGUAAUACGUAGGGUGCAAGCGUUAAUCGGAAUUACUGGGCGUAAAGCGUGCGCAGGCGGUUAUGUAAGACAGUUGUGAAAUCCCCGGGCUCAACCUGGGAACUGCAUCUGUGACUGCAUAGCUAGAGUACGGUAGAGGGGGAUGGAAUUCCGCGUGUAGCAGUGAAAUGCGUAGAUAUGCGGAGGAACACCGAUGGCGAAGGCAAUCCCCUGGACCUGUACUGACGCUCAUGCACGAAAGCGUGGGGAGCAAACAGGAUUAGAAACCCGUGUAGUCC